rnacentral:rRNA from 1 species
UACGGAGGGAGCUAGCGUUGUUCGGAAUUACUGGGCGUAAAGCGCACGUAGGCGGCUUUGUAAGUUAGAGGUGAAAGCCCGGGGCUCAACCCUGGAACUGCCUUUGAUACUGAGGAUCUUGAGUCCGGGAGAGGUGAGUGGAACUGCGAGUGUAGAGGUGAAAUUCGUAGAUAUUCGCAAGAACACCAGUGGCGAAGGCGGCUCACUGGCCCGGAACUGACGCUGAGGUGCGAAAGCGUGGGGAGCAAACAGG